rnacentral:rRNA from 1 species
GAUGAACGCUAGCGACAGGCCUAACACAUGCAAGUCGAGGGGUAGGGUAGCAAUACCCGAGACCGGCGCACGGGUGCGUAACGCGUAUGUAACCUGCCUUACACAGGGGGAUAGCCUUCCGAAAGGGAGAUUAAUACCCCAUAACAUUAUCUUCCCGCAUGGGGAGUUACUUAAAGCUACGGUGGUGUAAGAUGGGCAUGCGUAUGAUUAGCUAGUUGGGGGGGUAACGGCCCACCAAGGCGACGAUCAUUAGGGGUUCUGAGAGGAAGAUCCCCCACACUGGUACUGAGACACGGACCAGACUCCUACGGGAGGCAGCAGUGAGGAAUAUUGGUCAAUGGGCGCGAGCCUGAACCAGCCAUGUCGCGUGCAGGACGACUGCCCUAUGGGUUGUAAACUGCUUUUGUAUGGGAAGAAACGACGGUACGCGUACUGUUUUGCCGGUACCAUACGAAUAAGGAUCGGCUAACUCCGUG